UACGGAGGGUGCAAGUGUUAUUCGGAAUCACUGGGCGUAAAGAGCACGUAGGCGGAUAGGCAAGUCAGAUGUGAAAUCCCGGAGCUCAACUCCGGAACUGCAUUUGAUACUGCCUGUCUUGAGUGAGGUAGAGGGGAGUGGAAUUCCCGGUGUAGAGGUGAAAUUCGUAGAUAUCGGGAGGAACACCAGAGGCGAAGGCGACUCCCUGGGCCUCUACUGACGCUGAGGUGCGAAAGCGUGGGGAGGCAAACAGGAUUAGAUACCCCGGUA
rnacentral:rRNA from 1 species